rnacentral:rRNA from 1 species
AUCGAACGCUGGCGGCAGGCUUAACACAUGCAAGUCGAGCGGGGGAAGGUAGCUUGCUACCGGACCUAGCGGCGGACGGGUGAGUAAUGCUUAGGAAUCUGCCUAUUAGUGGGGGACAACAUCUCGAAAGGGAUGCUAAUACCGCAUACGUCCUACGGGAGAAAGCAGGGGAUCUUCGGACCUUGCGCUAAUAGAUGAGCCUAAGUCGGAUUAGCUAGUUGGUGGGGUAAAGGCCUACCAAGGCGACGAUCUGUAGCGGGUCUGAGAGGAUGAUCCGCCACACUGGGACUGGGACACGGCCCAGACUCCUACGGGAGGCAGCAGUGGGGAAUAUUGGACAAUGGGGGGAACCCUGAUCCAGCCAUGCCGCGUGUGUGAAGAAGGCCUUAUGGUUGUAAAGCACUUUAAGCGAGGAGGAGGCUACUUUAGUUAAUACCUAGAGAUAGUGGACGUUACUCGCAGAAUAAGCACCGGCUAACUCUGUGCCAGCCGCCGCCGUAACAC